CUGGUCGUAUUCUGUCAAAAUAAGAUGGUAAAAAGAUUCAGAAGGUAGUGGGAGGUCAGAUGUCGUUUCGUUAUUCUGGAUCUGGGCAAAUAGGAGCCAAGAAUGAAAAAAGCACCUGCUAUAAUUUGCAGCCAAUAUACUGCAUUUAAUCAGUCUUCUAAAAUCCUGUAAUUCUACUAAGCAUGUGUAAAUGUUCAGUCCAGUCAUCAUCCCUACUAUGAAACGUGUCUGUUCCGUUGCUGUGUGUGUGAACUAUACUGUAAAUGGCUUUCAACACAUUGAACGGAUGCUUCAUCAUAAUUUUCAUGCUUCACUGUGAAAGUAACCCGUAUCAUUAGCUUAAAAAAAAAAAAAAGCUUAUUCAUGCACAUUCAUAUGAUUUGAUUACUUCCUCGUCCUGGAUUUCACAGAUAAUUUUAAUUUGCUUCAAUAUAGUAUAUAAAAUAUAUUGCUGUCACAGUGAUACCUACAGUAUUUAAUCCAUACUACUAGUUAUUUGCUCAUUUAAACUGUUUUUAAAAAUCUGUUGUCUUUGAUCAGUACUGUAUUAUACUGUGUAAUAAAUAAACAAGUUAUGUGAAGACACGUGUGUCUGUGUCCACGCAGUUCCACUCGAAGUUGACACUGAAAUAGGUUCUCCUUUUUUGAAUUACAAAAAAUACUCAGAUUUUAUUGCUGAAAAAUGUAUAAACUGGAGCUAAUAACAAGGAUAUUGUAAAAACAGGCACCUACUUUAAAGGCAGCACAGAACAAACCGUACUGUAAGCCGCUGGUGUGUGUGUAGAACCUCCAACAUACUGACCGUUAAAACUGGACAUAGACUGUCUAAUCAAUGUUACUUUUAUAACAAGCAAAUUCUGCGGCAUCAUUUAAAAAAAAGAGACACAUCAACAAUUUACAUUGAAAUGAUGCAAGGUUCCUGAACAUUUCAUUUGACAAACUUCUGCCUCACAUCUAUAUAAAAAAGUAGUCACAUUGUUAAGAAGAAACCCUUGAACAAACAUUCUUAAAUGUUAACCAUGACACGUAAUAUCAUAUGUAAGAAUAAUAUCAGUGCGGUAUGUUCUGAAUUAAUGCUUGUAAAGGAAUAAGGUAGUCUACAUACGAUGGCUUUGUAACAGGAACAGGACCUCCGUUAUGCUCUAUAGAAACCUUGUUAUCGGUACAGGUGGCUAGCCCAGACAUGCUCUAUGCUGUGUAGCUCAGAUAGAAGCACUGCACAAGAUCAGAGGAUUUUUUGCAUAUAAGCUUGCUUUCUGUGGAGCUCAUUUACAACUAUAUGGUUGUAUAAAUGCUGCACUGAAAUCAGUUCUUGUUGGACUGUGCAUUUGUCCUGGAGCUUAUUUAUCAGAGGUUGUUGGCCUGGAUGAUCUGCUGCAGAAUGCUGUCCACGUCUCCUGUGUCAUAACUGAUUCCCUGCAUAUCCAAAUUGGGCAGGAUGGAAGAGAGGAGAGACACGACGUUCCUACGGAUAGAGCGUAAUCGAUCCAGUGCAAUGCUGUAGAGAGAAACACAGUGCAGGUCGUCUGCAGGAGUUACUGGAGCUUCCUGCUGUCCGGCAGGACUGACGUUCCUCUUUAAAAGAAUUUGCUGAUCUGGCUGAGAUCCUGAUUUCUGAAGGUAGACAGAAAAAAACGUUUGUUUUUUUUUUAUGCAUGAACAAACUAGUUCUGUGGUCUGAAAUGUAUGUUAGUGUGCUGCUGGAGGUGGACCAGCGCAGUGUUUUUAAACCAACUUCAGUUCGAAAUUACGAACUUAAAUCCCCUCUUUGCACAGCUGCAAGGCUAAAAGGUAUUUGAUGUCAUGCAAAGCCCCAAAAUAAUUUUUGUAGAUUUGUUUUGAAUGUUAAUUAUUUCUAUAAGUAGAUAGUAGGCUAAUUCACCCCACUACUAACCAAAUAAGGAACUGACUGUAUUAUUUUGUUGAACAAAUAAGAACAAACCAACUAUGAUAUCAACACUGUCCUAAAGUGAUUACACAUGUGGGUGAACCCCCACAAAAGCCAACGGGUAAACAAACGCAUUUGUGAAAGAGAUGUAAUCAUCAGUCUUAAUGAAAAUGUCAUUGUACUGAGAUUUGAGUAGCCGAUGUGAUUGAUAUUUCAGUAGUA
ensembl:lncRNA